rnacentral:lncRNA from 1 species
GGCCCGUACAAGUGUUUCUUAUCAAAAACCACAAUUAUCGUCCUUGAGGUCAAAGUUCAAGGUCACAUGAAGGUCAAAAAUUUAAGGAGGCACCCCACCUCAUGAUGAUACAUGUACAUCCACAUGCCAAAGAUGUAAGGCCUAGGUCAAAAGGCAAAGAAGUUAUGGCCUACAUGGUUGUGUUUUUCACGGAAAAAAAACCCAUAAAGUUGACCUUGAGGUCACAUUGGAAGGUCAUACAAAGGUCAUCAUGAUGCAAGACACUUAACCCUGUGAUGAUACAUCCACAUGCCAAAUAGCUAAGGCCUAGUUCUAAAGACGAACAAAAAUAUGGCCAUUAUGUCUUUUUUGAAUAGAUUUUGCUCUUAUUUAAUGAACCAAUUUGAGGGUGGGGCGUAAUUUAAACUUAAAUACCAAAAAAUCUAACGGUUCAAAUUUAAAAAAAAUUUGCAAGAACAAUCGACUAGUAUAGCACUCCAAAUGCUUAGUUUUAUGAAAAAAUUAAACGACACAUUUUUUUCAAAAAAAAAAAAAAUCUUCUUCAAAUACUAGAAGCACA